UCCGUAGGGGUGACCUGCGGAGGGAUCAUUACACAAAUAUGAAGGCGGGCUGGAACCUCUCGGGGUUACAGCCUUGCUGAAUUAUUCACCCUUGUCUUUUGCGUACUUCUUGUUUCCUUGGUGGGUUCGCCCACCACUAGGACAAACAUAAACCUUUUGUAAUUGCAAUCAGCGUCAGUAACAAAUUAAUAAUUACAACUUUCAACAACGGAUCUCUUGGUUCUGGCAUCGAUGAAGAACGCAGCGAAAUGCGAUAAGUAGUGUGAAUUGCAGAAUUCAGUGAAUCAUCGAAUCUUUGAACGCACAUUGCGCCCUUUGGUAUUCCAAAGGGCAUGCCUGUUCGAGCGUCAUUUGUACCCUCAAGCUUUGCUUGGUGUUGGGCGUCUUGUCUCUAGCUUUGCUGGAGACUCGCCUUAAAGUAAUUGGCAGCCGGCCUACUGGUUUCGGAGCGCAGCACAAGUCGCACUCUCUAUCAGCAAAGGUCUAGCAUCCAUUAAGCCUUUUUUUCAACUUUUGACCUCGGAUCAGGUAGGGAUACCCGCUGAACUUAAGCAUAUC
rnacentral:rRNA from 1 species